AGCCGGGUGGCCUAGAGGUCGGGCGCUUGACUGAACUCAAGAGGUGCUGGUCUGAGCCCUGAUUUGGCGA